CUUCCCUGAUGGCUUAGACGGCAAAGAAUCUGCCUGCAAUGCAGGAGACCUGGCUUCAAUCCCUGGGUGGUAAGAUCCCCUGGAAAAGGUAAUGGCAACCCACUCCAGUAUUCUUGACUGGGAAAUCCAUGGACAGAGGAGCCUGGCAAGCUACAGACAUUGAGGUCACAAAGAGUCAGACACGACUGAGUUACUAACACACACAUCCUAGCAAAAGUCCUAAUACGUCUCACCUAGAAGACAUAGUCCCAUGAGAUGCCAUGCUAGGACAGCCCUGGAACCCGGAACCUGCCACUGGCAUUUGUUUGGGACCCUACCAUUCCAAAAAAGGUGUUUAAUGCUAAAAUAAUUUCUUUAAGAUGCUUUGAUUCUGGGUGCCUUGCUGACCCUAGAGAGUCUGUCCCUCCCCAGGGCUACCAAGUCCUGCAGGCAGUAAACUCAGGAAAGCCCGGAGCAUGACCUUCAUACACAAACUAACCAGCCCAGACAGGGACACCAUGUACCCUCUAUCUGGCUCUCACACUCUGGACUACUCUUCACCCAACCUGCUCACCCUGGCACCAGACAACCAGAGACAGCCCUCACCCCCCAGAGCCCUCUGAAAUGAUCCAAACCAGCCGGCCUGAGCCUGCUUACCUGGCUCCUCCUGUUCCUCCGCACAGAAACCUCAGCAAAGGUC
ensembl:lncRNA